rnacentral:rRNA from 1 species
AUGUCGCACAUCGCGGUGGAGCGGAACCGGCGGCGGCAGAUGAACGACCACCUGAAGGUGCUCCGGGCGCUCACGCCGGCCUUCUACAUCAAGCGCUGCGACCAGGCGUCCAUUAUCGGCGGCGCCAUCGAGUUCAUCCGGGAGCUGCACACCGUGCUGGACGCGCUGGAGGCCAAGAAGAAGCGCCGCCUCUGCAGCCCCACCCCGAGCCCGCGCUCCCUCCUCACCUGCUCCACGCCCACCAGCGCCGGGGGAUCGGCCUCCGACGUCUCCCCCAACAGCAACGGCAGCAGCGGCGGCAGCUGCAUUGUGCCGCCCGGCAUCGGCGGCGCCGCCGUGAAGGAGCUCGCGGCCUGCUGCAACUCCCCGGCCGCCGACGUCGAGGCCAGGAUCUCCGGCGCCAACGUGCUGCUCCGCACGCUCUCCGGCCGCAUCCCCGCCCAGGCCGCCAGGAUCGUCGCGCUGCUCGAGAGCCUCCACCUCGAGGUGCUCCACGUCAACAUCAGCACCAUGGACGACACCGUCCUCCACUCCUUCGUCCUCAAGAUUGGGCUCGAGUGCCAGCUCAGCGUGGAGGAUGUCGCCUUCGAGGUCCAGCAGACCUUCUGCUACCACCAGGAGCUCGACUACUCAUCCAUGGCGAUAUAA